rnacentral:rRNA from 1 species
UGUAAUUUGUAGAGGAUGUUUCGGGUGAAGCCACGGUCCAAGUCCCUUGGAACAGGACGUCAUAGAGGGUGAGAACCCCGUACCUGGCCGUCGGUGCCCCCCGCUGUGAAACUCCUUCAACGAGUCGAGUUGUUUGGGAAUGCAGCUCUAAAUUGGUGGUAAAUUCCAUCUAAAGCUAAAUACCGGCCAGAGACCGAUAGCGCACAAGUAGAGUGAUCGAAAGAUGAAAAGCACUUUGAAAAGAGAGUUAAAAAGUACGUGAAAUUGUUGAAAGGGAAGCGCUUGCGGCCAGACUUGCCCGCGGUUGCUCAGCCCGCCUUUUGGCGGGUGCACUCUUCCGCGGUCAGGCCAGCAUCGGUUUGGGCGGUCGGAUAAAGGCGUAGGGAACGUGACCUCCCCUCGGGGAGGUGUUAUAGCCCUGCGCGCAAUGCGACCAGCCCGGACCGAGGUUCGCGCUUUGCUAGGAUGCUGGCGUAAUGGCCGUAAGCGGCCCGUCUUGAAACACGGACCAAGGAGUCUAACAUCUAUGCGAGUGUUUGGGUGUCAAACCCGUGCGCGUAAUGAAAGUGAACGGAGGUGGGAACCGAAAGGUGCACCAUCGACCGAUCCUGAUGUCUUCGGAAGGAUUUGAGUAAGAGCAUAGCUGUUGGGACCCGAAAGAUGGUGAACUAUGCGUGAAUAGGGUGAAGCCAGAGGAAACUCUGGUGGAGGCUCGCAGCGGUUCUGACGUGCAAAUCGAUCGUCAA